UACGUAGGGUGCAAGCGUUGUCCGGAAUUAUUGGGCGUAAAGAGCUCGUAGGCGGUCUGUCGCGUCUGCUGUGAAAACUCGGGGCUUAACCCCGGGCCUGCAGUGGGUACGGGCAGACUAGAGUGCGGUAGGGGAGACUGGGAUUCCUGGUGUAGCGGUGAAAUGCGCAGAUAUCAGGAGGAACACCAGCGGCGAAGGCGGUGCUCUGGGCCGGAACUGACGCUGAGGAGCGAAAGCGUGGGGAGCAAACAGG
rnacentral:rRNA from 1 species